ACCUGGUUGAUCCUGCCAGUAGUCAUAUGCUCGUCUCAAAGAUUAAGCCAUGCACGUCUAAGUAUGAGCCUUUACACGGCGAGACUGCGGACGGCUCAUUAAAUCGGUCAUGAUCCGCUCGGCCGCGACCUCGCUCGGACAACCGUAGCAAUCCUAGAGCUAAUACGUGCGAAAGGGCCCCCCCGCGAGGGGGGGCCCGCGUUCGUCAGGCGAAGGACCGACGCGGGCCGCGAGGCCCGACGGACGGCGAAUCGGGACGACCCCGCGGAUCGCACGGCCCCGCGCCGGCGACGCCCCGUCCGAAUUUCCGCCCUAUCAACUCCCGACGGCGGGAUAGAGGCCCGCCGUGGUGCUCACGGGUGACGGAGAAUCGGGGUUCGAUUCCGGAGAGGGAGCCUGAGAGACGGCUACCACUUCUACGGAAGGCAGCAGGCGCGAGUGACGAUAGAUAACGGCGCGAGGCCCGCGGGUCUCGCGGCCGGAACGAGGACGACCCAAACCCGCUACCGAGCAACGAUCGGAGGGCAAGUCUGGUGCCAGCAGCCGCGGUAAUUCCAGCUCCGAUAGCGUAUAUUAAAGUUGCUGCGGUUGAAGAGCUCGUAGUCGGACCUCUGCGGGCCGCGCGGGUCCCGGCCCGCCCCGAGCGGGCGCGCGCCGGACCCCGCGGCCCCUUUCCCGUCCGGGACGCUCCCCCCCCCUUUUCCCGCGAGGGAGGAGGGGGCCCGGGGGGCCCCGGACCAUUUACCUCGAAGAAACCGGGGUGUCCAAGGCGGGCCCGUCCGAGACGGCGCCUCGAACGUCGCAGCACGGGAUAACCAUCGCGGGCCGGGCCCCCGAUAUGACGUCGGUCCCGGGGGCGCGGCGCACGGUCGAAGGGGACGGUCGGGGCCAUCGAUACUUCGUCGUCAGAGGUGAAAUUCUCGGAUUGACGAGAGAUCGACGAGGGCGAAGGCUUUUGGCGAGGACGCCCCCCUCGAUCAAGAACGAAAGUUAGGGGAUCGAAGACGAUCAGAUACCGUCGUAGUCUUAACCGUAAACGAUGCCGACCGGGGAUCGGGGGGCGUCGCGCGCGUCGACCCCCCCGGCGCCCCGCGGGGAACCGGAGUCUUCGGGUUCCGGGGGGAGUAUGGUCGCAAGGCCGAAACUUAAAGGAAUUGACGGAAGGGCACCACCAGGAGUGGAGCCUGCGGCUUAAUUUGACUCAACACGGGGAAACUCACC
rnacentral:rRNA from 1 species